rnacentral:rRNA from 1 species
UACGUAGGUGGCAAGCGUUGUCCGGAAUUAUUGGGCGUAAAGCGCGCGCAGGCGGUCCUUUAAGUCUGAUGUGAAAGCCCACGGCUCAACCGUGGAGGAUCAUUGGAAACUGGAGAACUUGAGUACAGAAGAGGGAAGCGGAAUUCCACGUGUAGCGGUGAAAUGCGUAGAGAUGUGGAGGAACACCAGUGGCGAAGGCGGCUUUCUGGUCUAUAACUGACGCUGAGGCGCGAAAGCGUGGGGAGCAAACAGG